rfam:Oryza glumipatula chromosome 12, whole genome shotgun sequence.
AAUAAGUGCAGUUUUACACUGUUCAUGUCUAACGUUUCACCGUUCGUCUUAUUUUUUAAAAAAAUGAUUAGUACUUUUAUUGUUAUUAGAUGAUAAAAUAUGAAUAGUAUUUUAUGUGUGACUAAUUUUUUUAUUUUUUUAUAACUUUUUAAAUAAAACGGACGGUCAAAUGUUGGACACGGAUACCCAUGUCUACACUUAUU